UCCGGUAUGGUGUAGUGGUUAACAUUUCGCGUUUUCACCGCGAGGCCCGGGGUUCAAUUCCCCGUACCGGAG
rnacentral:tRNA from 1 species